CAAACGACACUCGGCAACGAAUAUCUCGGCUCUCGCAUCGAUGAAGAACGUAGCGAAAUGCGAUACUUGGUGUGAAUUGCAGAAUCCCGUGAACCAUCAAGUUUUUGAACGCAAGUUGCGCCCGAAGCCGUCAGGCUAAGGGCACGUCUGCCUGGGUGUCACGC
rnacentral:rRNA from 1 species